rnacentral:rRNA from 1 species
UACGUAGGGGGCUAGCGUUGUCCGGAAUCAUUGGGCGUAAAGAGCGUGUAGGCGGCCCGGUAAGUCCGCUGUAAAAGUCAAAGGCUCAACCUUUGAAUGUCAGUGGAUACUGCCGGGCUAGAGUCCGGAAGAGGCGAGUGGAACUCCUGGUGUAGCGGUGGAAUGCGCAGAUAUCAGGAGGAACACCGGUGGCGAAGGCGGCAUCCUGGACCAAUUCUGACGCUGAGGAGCGAAAGCCAGGGGAGCAAACGGG